CAACCCUCAUGCCCACUUGGGCGUGGUGUUGGGGAUCGGCUAAGCCCUGUAGACGGGACGCCGGCCCCUAAAUCUAGUGGCGGGACCGCUGUGGCCUCCUCUGCGUAGUAGUGAUACCCCGCACGUGGAGAGCAGCGAGCCUCUGCCGUUAAACCCCCAACUUUUCAA
rnacentral:misc_RNA from 1 species